GCGCAUGUACGUAGAGAUUGAUGCAGAGAAUGAGGUGCUUCUCUGUCGAUGAAUCCAGACAUGUCAUGGUGUUUUGCAUGCAUAUACAGACAUCAGCGUAUAUGCUAGCUUGUGCGCCAAUGUAGUAGUGCAGCGUAAGUACUCUCGCUAUUGAAAAACUCAACAUUGAAAGUUACCAUUCAUCCUGAGGGUCAGUACCGCUUGCGUUUUAAUCCGGUAUUAAUGUGAGUAUCAGUACUGGUACUAAAUCGCAACCUCCCCUUACGUGUCAGCCCCCCUUCUCUCUCAUCCCACGCUCACCCCCUCCCCACACUUAUUCGCUUGUCCCCUCAUCCUCUCACCCACGCCUCUCUCUCUUCUUCUCCCCACCGAAUCACCUAUCUCUUCCUAGCUGAAUCCUCUCCCUCUCCCCCA
rnacentral:lncRNA from 1 species